GGUAAACGGCUUACCAAGGCGAUGAUGCAUAGCCCGAGUUGAGAGACUGAUCGGCCACAUUGGGACUGAGACACGGCCCAAAACUCCUACGGGAGGCAGCAGUAGGGAAUCUUCCACAAUGGACGCAAGUCUGAUGGAGCAACGCCGCGUGAGUGAAGAAGGUUUUCGGAUCGUAAAGCUCUGUUGUUGGUGAAGAAGGAUAGAGGUAGUAACUGGCCUUUAUUUGACGGUAAUCAACCAGAAAGUCACGGCUAACUACGUGCCCAGCAGCCGCGGGUAAU
rnacentral:rRNA from 1 species